rnacentral:lncRNA from 1 species
CACCAUUAGUCUCCCAAGUGGCGACUCUGAAUAAAAAUAAUAAAUUUCGUUCCGAUUGUCCUUUAAUUGGAAAACUCCUUUACGCCCCUUUUGCAGGGUGUAUAGUAAAAAAGGAGGUGUGACACCCAUGCGAUCGCAUAGAACACACCACUGCCAUGGACCCCAGACCCAACAACCCUAUGCGAACGCGUACCCCCUUGUUCGAACGCACAGCUCAAUCUCCCAGACCAAUGCAAUCGCAUACCACCUAGUGCGAAAGCAUAGCACAAAAACAGACCCCUCUCC